AUGGACUUAGGGCUAAUACUGGUUUUCUCUGUCCUUAUUUUAAAAGGUGUCCAGUGUGAAGUACAGUUGCUGGAGUCUGGGGGAGGCUUAGUGCAGCCUGGAAAGUCUCUAAAACUCUCCUGUGCAGCUUCUGGAUUCACCUUCAGUAGUUAUGCAAUGAGCUGGGUCCACCAGGCUUCCAGGAAGGGUUUGGAGUGGGUGGCAACCAUUGUUAUGGUGGAAGUAGCACCUACUAUACCGACGCUGUGAAGGGCCAGUUCACAAUCUCCAGAGACAACGCCAAGAACACACUGUACCUGGAAAUGAGCAGUCUGAGGUCUGAGGACACAGCCAUGUAUUACUGUGCAAGAGACACAGUGAGUGAAUGCUACUGUGAGCUCAGACACAAACACCCCUGUGGGUAA